UACGUAGGGUGCAAGCGUUGUCCGGAAUUAUUGGGCGUAAAGAGCUCGUAGGCGGCUUGUCGCGUCGACUGUGAAAUCCCGCGGCUCAACUGCGGGUCUGCAGUCGAUACGGGCAGGCUAGAGUUCGGUAGGGGAGACUGGAAUUCCUGGUGUAGCGGUGAAAUGCGCAGAUAUCAGGAGGAACACCGGUGGCGAAGGCGGGUCUCUGGGCAACAACUGACGCUGAGGAGCGAAAGCGUGGGGAGCGAACAGG
rnacentral:rRNA from 1 species